rnacentral:rRNA from 1 species
GACGAACGCUGGCGGCGUGCUUAACACAUGCAAGUCGAACGCUGAACCCGCUUCGGUGGGGGAUGAGUGGCGCACGGGUGAGUAACACGUGGGCAACCUGCCCCCGGCUCUGGGAUAACUCCAAGAAAUUGGGGCUAAUACCGGAUGUGACCGCUGGCCGCAUGGUCUGGUGGUGGAAAGGGUUUCCGGCUGGGGAUGGGCCCGCGGCCUAUCAGCUUGUUGGUGGGGUAGUGGCCUACCAAGGCGACGACGGGUAGCCGGCCUGAGAGGGUGACCGGCCAAAAUGGGGACGAGAAAAGGGCCAGACUCCGUAGGGAGGGAAGAGGGGGGAAUAAUGCGGAAAGGGGCGAAGGCCGGAGGCAGCGAGGCGGGGGGGGGAAGGAGGGCUUUGGGGUGGUAACCCCCUUUCGGCAGGAACGAGCGGAAGGUAAGGGAACUGGCAAAAGAAGCACGGGCAAAUUAGGG